rnacentral:misc_RNA from 1 species
UGGAACUGUUAAACUCAGCUUAAUAUCCACUAACAAAAAGAAAUACACAGUUAUCCAUUGAUGAAUCUGGCUAUGACAAUUACAUUGUGACCCAAUUGAUAAAUCUGGCCACAGAGUGGCUCGAAGCAUAUACAGAUAUGCUACCCUCUAUCACUUCUGAUUCUAUUCACCUAGUCAAAUAAAUACACUCUAUGCGCAUUCCUAAUUGAACCACAA